CAGGUUUUUCCCUGGGAGCCGAGUCACUGCUGCAGUACAGAGAAGAAACUGAAAAACGGACCUAUGAGGGCAGGCAGGAUCAAAUUCAGAGAUUCAAGUCCAGUAAGACCUACGACUCCAGCAUGCUGGUGAAAACAUGACGACUGACGACGGUGGAUAAACUAUUUUCCUGUAACAGUGGAGACAAUCAUUCCCCCCCCUCCCAGUGUGUGGAAAAGCUGCACCAGCUGCACCUGUUGACCCGCGCCGCAGCACAACAGCAUCAGCGGGGAUCAGGGUCAUUAUUCUCAGUGAAGCUUAAUGGAGAAAGGCACGACUCAAACGCCGCCUGGGUUAAGAGUUCGGUUUCCCUCUGCGGCCGGCCUGCAUUACCAUUCUGUAAGCCUCUGUGAAAUUGGAAGAUCCUCUGGACCAAAACCCGAGAGUCUGUAUGAGAGUCUGGAGCUUUUCAAGCGUCGGUGCAACGGGACAGACGGGGGAAAUGUGCGACGCGGCAGGCGAAAUGCGAACGUCGAAUCUGGAUUUUACCAAGUGGAAAGUGAUAUUGGUUAUACAUUCACCUGUUUUGUUUCUUUUUUUCUGGCUCUGGUGGCUUUUAUUUGAAAGUGCUGGGACAGGAAAGUAGGUAAAGAGAAAGACGGAAGAUGUGCGGCAAAGGUCACCAGGCCAGGAAUCGAACCUGCGACGGCCACGUCGAGGACUGAGGCUUCCUUAACGGCUCCGCCACCGCAGCACCUCCCGCCUGUUCUUUUGUUGACUCUGAUUUUGCUGGUUUCUGAUGUUUUCUGGAUAUUUUCCACCACCUGUUAGUAUUUUAACCAAAGUUUUUCCACAUUUACAGGAAUUUCAGGGGGUUUUUUGGCUCUAAAAUGAAAUUAUUGCAGAAGAAAAUUA